rnacentral:rRNA from 1 species
GACGAACGCUGGCGGCGUGCUUAACACAUGCAAGUCGAGCGGAGCGGCGAACGGGUGAGUAACGCGAGAGUAACUGCCCCCCUCUCUGGGAUAACAGUUGGAAAAGGCUGCUAAUACCGGAUAGUGGGGGAUGACUCGCGUCCUAUUAGCUUGUUGGUGGGGUAGUGGCUUACCAAGUCGACGACGGGUAGCCGGCCUGGGAGGUCGACCGACCACAUUGGGCGAAGGUACGGCGCAAAAUCGUACGUGAGGCAGGAGUGGGGAAUAUUGCACAAUGAGGGAAACCCUGAUGCAGCAACGCGCGUGCGUGAUGACGGCCUUCGGGGUGUAAACCGCUUUCAGCCAUGACGCGGUAGUGGCAGAAGAAGCACCGGCUAACUACGGGCCAGCAGCCGCGGUAAUAC